rnacentral:sRNA from 1 species
CUCGAUGGUCAGCUGAGGCAUCUGGGAAACCCUCUCCUUCUGAUCCAGGAUCUGGUACAGCUACCAUGAUGAACAGCAGCUCAAGAGGCUCUUCCCCUACCAGGGCACUCGAUGAAGGCAAGGUAAAUGCACCCAUUUUGAAUAAUUAGUUAUUUCAGGAACAUUUAGCUCUUCCUACAACUCUCUCUUUGCCUCAUCUCCUAUUUGUGUGUUCUAUCUGUACUAUCUCAUUUAUUUUUUAAAAAAGCAAACUGUUCUCCAAGAGCCUGAAGUCCCCUCAGUUCCCAGCAUUACAUCU